rnacentral:rRNA from 1 species
CCUACGGGAGGCAGCAGUGGGGAAUUUUGGACAAUGGGCGCAAGCCUGAUCCAGCAAUGCCGCGUGAGUGAAGAAGGCCUUCGGGUUGUAAAGCUCUUUUGUCAGGGAAGAAACGGUGGAGGCUAAUAUCCUUUGCUAAUGACGGUACCUGAAGAAUAAGCACCGGCUAACUACGUGCCAGCAGCCGCGGUAAUACGUAGGGUGCAAGCGUUAAUCGGUAAUUACUGGGCGUAAAGCGUGCGCAGGCGGUUUUGUAAGUUUGUCGUGAAAUCCCCGGGCUCAACCUGGGAAUGGCGAUGAAGACUGCAAGGCUAGAAUCUGGCAGAGGGGGGUAGAAUUCCACGUGUAGCAGUGAAAUGCGUAGAGAUGUGGAGGAACACCGAUGGCGAAGGCAGCCCCCUGGGUCAAGAUUGACGCUCAUGCACGAAAGCGUGGGGAGCAAACAGGAUUAGAUGCCCUGGUAGUCCACGCCCUAAACGAUGUCUACUAGUUGUCGGGUUUUAAUUAACUUGGUAACGCAGCUAACGCGUGAAGUAGACCGCCUGGGGAGUACGGUCGCAAGNUUAAAACGUCAAAAGUAGUAGUCGGACGUGAGACGUAGCGACGAGACACGAGGAGGAGGAGG